rnacentral:snRNA from 1 species
GUCCCUUCGGCGACAUCCAAUGAACUGAAUUGGAACGAUACACAGAAGAUUAGCACGACACAUACGCAAGAAUAACAUGUCAAUAUGCUGGUCAAAAUUGCAUUAC